AAGGGAAGGGAGAAGAAAUGUGUGGGAAAUAUCAGAAAGGGAGACAGAACAUAAAGACUGCUAACUCUGGGAAACGAACUAGGGGUGGUAGAAGGGGAGGAGGGCGGGGGGUGGGAGUGAAUGGGUGACGGGCACUGGGUGUUAUUCUGUAUGUUAGUAAAUUGAACACCAAUAAAAAAAUAAAUUAAAAUAAAAAAAAAAAAAAAAAACCCUAAAAAAAAAAAAAAAUGUUUUUUAUUCUCUCUUCCAUAUUUUAUGUAUAUGCUGAUAUAGUUUAUAUCUUUUUAUUCACAAUAUUUCUUGAUCUCUCUUUUGGAGCAUAUUUCUCUGCCUCCCCAGUUUGUUUGAGUUCUGUGUUUGUGUAGAUUAGAUAGAACAUCUACUUGUAUACUUGAAGGAAUGGAUUGGGUCUCUCUUGCUACUUACUCUCUGUUGUCAUUCUUUCUAUCUUUUGUUGUACAGAAGCUAUUCAGUCAGCCUUCAGUUCUUCAGGAGGAAUUACUCUCUAAAUAGGUAUAAUACGGUAUGUUCUGUGAAGGAGGUAAGUUCAGGAUCUCUCCACAUCACCAUCUUGGCCAGAACCCUUAUUUAUGAUUUUCUUCAAGAAAUACCCUUUUAAAGAGGUGUCUGUUAGGCAUGUGCCCAUUGCUAACCAAAGCCCCACAUUAUCAAAGGGCCAGCAUUUUUUUUUUAAUUUAAAGAUUUGGGAUGUUUUCUGGAAAUCAAUUCAAUAACUGUAUAAUUACAAUCUGCAUACAUUUUUUUCACAUUAGCUUUUAUCAGUAGGAAUUGUUUGCAAUUCCUUUUUUUUUAAUUUUUAUUUAUUUAUGAUAGUCACACAGAGAGAGAGAGAGAGGCAGAGACACAGGCAGAGGGAGAAGCAGGCUCCAUGCACCGGGAGCCCGACGUGGGAUUCGAUCCCGGGUGUCUCCAGGAUUGCGCCCUGGGCCAAAGGCAGGAGCCAAACCGCUGCGCCACCCAGGGAGCCCUGCAAUUCCUUUAAUGAGACUAAAAUAAAGGCAUUCGCUGAAACUCUGAACACCUCAGAUUUGUCUACAGGAUUUGAGGGCAGGAAAGAAAGCAAAAAAGACCUAAAAAUGAUGCCAGUAUAUAUGACUUCAGUUGGAAAGCAAAUCUUUUGUAGUAGUACAUAAACCACCUCCUGACAAUAUUAGUGGCCACUUCCUAAGUUCCAUAUAUUGUAUUCACUUUACCAAACAGGAAAUGCAAAUUCCCCUUCUUUGUUAUUCUUCCAUUAAAGAUAUGCCACUUCAUUGAAUUAGAGACUUUUGUUGAACACAAGCCAACCAUUAAAAUGAGAUUAUGAAUACUAACUAUACAUAUACAUCCUACCCCUUUCGUUCUUAAAAGUGUGGAAGAAUAGAAGAGAUCAGGAGAGAAUUAUGAAACAUCUAAGCAGUCCUGUCCUGACACAAGAGGGGACUCAGCACUUUCUAGGACCCAACACUUACAUGGGCCUUCAUUUGGAAUUUUUUCCUAAAAUAUUAUUUUAUCUUGAAAAUAUUAGGGAUUGGCUUGCAUAUAAAUAUUUCAGUUCUUCUUGACAAUGGUCAUUUAUCUAAGAUUCUUCUUUAGAACCAAUGAUACAUACAGCAAAUUAAUUGGAAGUUAUACUUAACUUUUCUUUCCUACAUCCUUGUUUUUUCUCCUUACCUCCCUGGCUCCCCUUUUUCAGUUUUUUAGUAAUGGCAAAAUUGAUAAUACAUAUUAAGAAAGGAUUUGUGUUUGUAGAGAUUAGUGAGAAAAUGGUGACAAAGAUAAUAUUUUAAUGAUAACGAGUUUUUAUUACUGUAGGAUUUCCUUAGUGUUCAGGUUUCAUAUUUCUUUACACACAUUGGAUCAAAAGAGGAACAGGAGACCACUGCAGUCUUCCUAUCGACAGCUGUCACUCCUUAGAGUUGGAACUAUGAGCUGGAUUCCAAAAAAAGGUGGCAGUUAUAAGGGAGAAGUGGAAAAGUUAAGAAUAAAAAUAAGUGUUGAUUUUAUUAUUAUUUAUUA
rnacentral:lncRNA from 12 species